rnacentral:lncRNA from 1 species
ACAGUGAGCACAUGUGUUUCAAUUGAGUAGAGUUCUCAAUUCAAAGAUGCAAGUUACUGUGAUAGAAAAUAACCAAGACAGUUGGAGGUCUCAUCUGGUUGCCAUUCUGCCUCUCCAUGGGAUCCUGUAUUGUAUUAUUGAUGCCUUUCCCACAGUGAGUUCACCUAUGAUACACUGUCUUGAGUCAUGGAUGCUAAUUCUUCUAUAUCAAUUGUUUAUUCUUUCAAUUUGUGCCAUAAGAUUCAUUUGUCCCCACUUAAUUUCCCUCAGGGAUAAGACAUUAGGUGCCCUAAAGUGGUCUAAUCCACUGGCUCACUACUUUAGUUUCCUAUAUUCUAGUUCUGCUGCAAACUGUGGAUUAUCUGCCCACAACAAGACAGACUCUGCUUUGUCAUGGCUUCUUUGUAGCCUUGUGGCUUUGAAGGAAUUGGUUUCAAAAAAAUCAAAUACAAACAAACAAAAAAGGAAAGAAAAGAA